CAAGAGACAAGCAGGCAGGCAAUUUCAGAAAACACAAAACCAGGAAAAAUGAUGAAGAAAAAUAUAUCCACUUGAAUGUAGAUUAAAAAAAAAAAAGAACUCUUCAAACCCCAUUAAACCUUAGAUCUUUAAAAAUGUUCCCUUAGACUUGACCAGUAUUUGAGGACAUCAAUCAAAUCUUCUCUUUAACUCCUGAAGAAAAGAAACACAUCACUUCUCUUAAAAGAAGCUUUCUGGGUAUGGAUUGAUAUCUUUCAGAAAAUAGACGGACUUGUAGAGUUUUGAAGCUGAAUUGGAUCUAUUUUUGUAGACGAGCAAAUCAAGGCUCAGUGAAUUAAAGUUACACACUUAGUCUAGCAAAAGAACUGGUAGAUGGGGAGCCUGAGCCAGAAAAGUGUGGAGGUCAGCGGAAGAAGACAUUUUUCUGUGCUGAGAGAGAAACAUCCAAGCAAGAAUUCAGGAUGUUUAAGAUGUGUUUAGAAGAUGAUUGAAACUCAACAUGCAUGAUUUGGUUUCCGUUUUCUGAGAGAAAUGAAUAUUUAUGUCCAAUAUUAUUGUACAAAACCGGUAUCUGCCCAGGAGUCCGACCCAGAUUAAAAUCCUAGCUCUGUCUCUUCUUGUGUACCUGCAAGCAAAUGGAUACAUCUAAUUUUCAGUUUUCUCAUCAGUAAAAUGAGGAUAAGUUAUAUUCCAUAGGAUUACAGUGAGAAUGCAAUAUAAUGUGUGAAGUACUUUGCAUUACAAAUGGCCCAUAGUACAUGCUUAACGAGUGACUUUUCAUUAUCCUUACUUCUCUGGUCUUGGCUGUACAUAGGAAGACUGUAUGGAAUUAUGCCCAACCCUAUAGCAUUAUCAUGGGAAAAAUAAGUGACCCACAUGUGUAAUCUGAAGAGUUAGGUCAGAGAAUAAAAGAAUAAAGAGGGAGCGUCUUGAACCUAGAGAAAGUGAAGUGCUCUGCAAUGUUCCCGUGGUUAGACUUUGAUGUAAUUUAAUUUGUUUAAAUAGGGUAGAUUUCUAAUAAAGGACAGAAGUAUUAGAUAAACAAACAGGAAAAGAAGAAAUCUUUCUGAUCAUCAUGGUGUUAUAUAUUUAAAGAAGUUAAAGCAACAUUAUUUUAAUUGGAAAGGGGUAUGUUAAUAGGAACAGAAGGGAGAGCAUUCAUUAAAAAAAAAUUUUGACAACCUCAAUUCAAUAACUUGUAAUAGCAUAGUGGUGGUUAAGAUUAAGGACUUGGAAUCAGACAGAUGUGGGUUCACACCCCAGCUCCCCACAUGCUGUGCAACCUGGGCAGGCAAGUAACCUCUAAAACUUGGUAUCUGUAUAAUGGUAAUAUGUAUGAGGUUGAAUCACAUGAAAUUACCACUUUCGUAAGUCAAAACCAGUCAAAUACUGGAUAAUUCAUAUGAUUCAACCUAGCUGUGAGAAUAAAAAGAUAAUGUAACUAAAGUUAUUACCACAAUCACAGGCACUAAAUGCUCCAUACGUGGCAGUUAUUGUUAUGUUAAUGUGUCCAACACCUGGAGAAAAAAAUUACAUCACAAUUCCUCCAUACAAUGAAGUAAGAUAAAAACAGUUAAAAUCAUGACUGUGAAGAAUAAUUAAGGGUAUAAAACUAUAAUCAUAAUAAAAAUGCUAAAUUAAAAAAAUGAAGAUCUAAUACUAUAUAUACAAUUUCAUCCAACUUGUAAAACAUAUAUGCAAGUCUAUUUGUUUCUAUAGAAAGCUGUCUGGAAGAAAAUAUAUUAAAAUGUUAAACACAACCCUUGAUAAAUGAUAUUAAUAAAAAUUAUAUAAGAAUUAUAUUAUUUUCUUUCCCUAGUUUCUUCUCUUUUUCUAUAAACUCAGACUACCUUCAUAAUCAGUAAAAGUAUGUACUUUUUCAUUCUACCCCUCAAAGUACAAAAAGCUAACAAGAGUUCUUGCCAUGUAUAGGAAUAACACCCUAUUUGAUAAAUGCCAUUUUGUUACCACUUUAAAA
rnacentral:lncRNA from 1 species